UAACUCUAAUAUUUUUUGUCCUCAUGUAAAAAAGCUAUUGAAAACCACUGUUCUAGUGAAUUGAAGUCAACCUGCUAAAAAGCUGCGAUCUUAUUACCAAAGCUGCUUCAAGAUGCUGCGACAAGCUGUUUCAUGACGCGACAAGCUUUUCGACGCACGUUCAGGCACGUUUUAGGCGGCGGCUCGGUUCUGCCCCUGACAUUGCUGAAGUCCAUGGGCGACGGUAACCACUCACCAUCAGGUGGGCUGUAUGCUCAUCUGCCUACAAGGAUUAUAACAGUAAAAUUCACAACUCGUAACCUCUGCCGACUAACAACUUGCCACAUCUUGCUAUAUGCCUCCCACGGAUAACAGCAAUGCAAGACAGAACAAGAUGUUCGAUAGAUGGAAAAUUUAUCACAUAAAAUUAUAAUUUCUUUCUGCGGUUCUAAUUCCGUAAGCUAUGACCACUUUUGCCGCCCUUAGUAUCCUAAUCAUCACUUGGAUCAAGUUUGGAUUCACGUCGGGGGAUGAUGGUUAGAGUGGACUUAAAUAUAACCGAUAUUACAAGGUAAAUCGUGCUCAAAUUAAGUAAUUAUUCCAACCAAUUGCUUAUAUUAAUGUAAGUGUAAGUAAUGUGAAUGCAUUUGUUUAAUUUUUUAUCUAUUCUCUUGCACUAUUUUCAAAGUGGAAUAUACGUGGUAAAUAUGGGAAUGAUCGUGGUACAAUGCAAUUCAACAAUAUGCAAUUUACAAUUUACCCUAAGGUAAAUCAUAGAUUUUUCUUGUUUGAUUUUUAUAUAUGAUAUUAAGUUUUAAUGUGGAUGUCCUUCGUGAGAACGCGUUGAUUAUAUAUUUAUUUACAAAUAAA